rnacentral:lncRNA from 1 species
CGAUCAAGUCAAAUUCGAAGUUGUUGUCAUCUGGUAUAGCGUUGAACAACCCUAUGUGGCGCUCAACCUACCAAAACAAUGAGUCAUUGGGCUCUAGAGCAUUGAGCACUGAAACUCCAUAGAGCUUUGGGCAUUGGGCAAUAAGAUAGGCUCGCUAAGUAAGAGAUCUCACAUGAUCUGUAGUGCUGAGCGUCAUAAGCUGG